AUUCAGAUUUAGGAGUGACUGACACAUAGACAGUAGGUAUAUGAGAUCAUCUAAGAAGACUCUGUAAAGAGAAAAGAGCAGCGGACCAAGGGUUGAACAUUGGGAAGCACCCGAGAUGGAAGAAGAGGAAAAACCGGCGAAACAGACAAAGAAGCAGUGGUCAGAGAUUCAUGAGAACAAGGAGAGGAUAUCAUCAGGAAAGCUAAGGGAAUAAAUAAUUUGAAAAAUUACCAAAGUAACAAAUAAGGCCCAAAUAGUAUCCAUGGGUUUUAGCAUUGACACUGUAGAUGUCAUUAGUGUCCCCAAAGAGAACAGUAAAUUGGAUGAGGCAGAAGGCAGACUUAUAGUGGCUGAGCAGUAAAAGGGAAGGAAAGAAGCUACUGUCAGAUUUUCUACUGCUGAAGGAAAGAAGCUAUUGUCAGAUGCUAGAGGAAAAUUUUGAUACAGUGACAGAGUUUGGAGCAAAAAGAAAUGAAAAGGUCUGCUGUAACGUGGAAGAAGGAAGUUUAAAAGCCACUGGAGAACAAAUGAUCACCUUUACCAAAGAGAAAGCAGGAAAUAGAAAAGGUAAACUCAAAACAAGAAAAUCAGUAAAUAGGAAAAUCUGAGUUCAGUCUAUCUAUGUGACGAACACCCAGUGCUUCCUCCUGCGUUUCUCUUUUCCUGUCACAGUAUUCCCACCCUCAGCACACUUCCCUUCUGUCACCACAUGUGUGGAGGUCUUGCCUAGCACCACCCAACAGCGCCCAUUUCCAGUGUGUGUUGGGGGAGGUUUUCCCUCCAUGCUACCAAGCAAUGCUCAGGACACGAGCCUGGCGUCCUACAAUUUAACUCAAUUCAGAUCAAUUCUGACGCUAUCCACCCAGAGACAGCUUCAGAGUCCACAGGUCAAGGGUUCAGUCCCGCAAGAACACCUCCCACCCCACUUCAGACGCCCAUCGCAAGCCCAGGCUGUUAUCUGUGCUUCUGCCCUACUGGCUGUAAACUGGAGGUUCCAACAACCCUUUCCCACUCAGAAUGCCAAUCCCAA
rnacentral:lncRNA from 1 species